CAGCUGCCUACCAGUUAAGUACAUUUGACAUUUUAGUCAUUUAGCAGACACUCUUAUCCAGAGCGACUUACAGUAGUGAGUGCAUACAUUUUCAUACGUUUUUUUCGUACUGGUCCCCCGUGGGAAUCAAACCCACAACCUUGGCAUUGCAAGCGCCAAGUAGUGAUGAUCAUGAUCAUUAAUAUGUCUGUUUAUACUCAGAAAAGCUGUGCAAAUAUACAGGUAUUGUGCUGUAUGUCCAUACAGUAGCCUAGCCAUUCCACUGUUCUCUUUCUGAAAUGAUGCAGGGAGUACAUUUGGAUUUAACACUGACAGAUUGACAGCCUACUAUUGCUUCUGCUGAAUUGGAGUAAAGAAAUUAACCACCACAUAUGGCGACGAGGAUGGGAUGUGAAUCUUCACUUGGUGACCACUCCUGAUGACCUGGGUAAAUAGUGCACAAGGGAUCCCUCAAACUUGGCAUCACAGGGAGACCAAACUUCAGAAACGAAGCAGAUGGACCCACCUUUGAUCUGAGAGGCAGCGAGCCGAGUGGACAUCACAUCUCGAACUUAGUUUUCAAAAAAUAAAGAGGCAGCAAAAUGUGAAAACUGUACAAAGGGUGUGUUGUCCUGAGAAAAGACUUCUCCAAGUCUGGCCUCUGACCACAGAGAGAACGUUCACCUCGUUCAGAACUACUUCAAGGUGUGUCUGCGUCGUCUCGGGGCCCAGGAGGAGCAGGAUGAGAAGGCAGCAGACAAACAGCUGUUCAGCUACCUGACCCUGGUCUUCAAACUCUCCAAGGACUGUAGCCUCCUGGAAGCCUCAGGACACGUUCACUAACAUCCUGGUUAAGACACUACAAUAGUACCUAGAACCUGGUCCCAGAUCUGUUUGUGCUGUCUUGCCAUCUGUUUGUGCUGUCUUGUAGUUGCGACCAUAGGAAUUGGCACGACAGCACUAACAGCUCAGGGACCCAGCUUUACUACCUCUGGAUAUCAUAUCUGUGACGUGGGCCCAGUCUGAAAAUCACCUCAGAUAUCUCAGUUGUCUGGAGAGACACAACUGGUCCUACAGUACUGUGCUGUUUGGUCAGCUGUUUGCUCACUGGAGGGAGGACACCACAGAGGAGGGCAGUGCCAACAACACCACAGAGGACGGCAGUGCCAACAACACCACAGCCUGUUGCUCCUACAUUCCUUUCUACCAGCCUGGACAAGAAUGUGACACACCACUUCACAUAAUCAUAUUUAUCCUGCUACAAAAGAUUCUGGUGUAAUCAAGAUAGGUUUAUCAAUUACUUUUUCUGUCCUCCCUAUCUCCCCUGUCCCUCAGAUGAGAGUGCUAGUCCUGUCCUUUCAUCAUCAGCUCCAGUCUAAAUACCUAGACAUGUCCACAGGAGAAUAGG
rnacentral:lncRNA from 1 species